rnacentral:rRNA from 1 species
GACAGAGGUGCCGAGCGUUAGGCGGAAUUAUUGGGCGUAAAGGGUGCGUAGAUGGCCUGAUAAGUUAGCAGUGGGAAAUCGAGGCUCAACCUCGUGGAAGCUGGUAAUACUGUCAGGCUCGAGUGCAGGAGAGGUUAACGGAACUCCAUGUGGAGCGGUAAAAUGUGUAGAUAUAUGGAAGAACACCAAUAACGGCGAAGGCAGUUAACUAUUCUGUUACUGACAUUGAGGCACGAAAGCGUGGGGAGCAAAACGG